rnacentral:lncRNA from 1 species
ACAAUCUGAAGAAUUAAUGUUCAACAAUCUAUUAUAUACUUAAAACAGAAGUAAAAGAAGUUGUCACAUUUAUCCACAUAGAUCAAAUUAUGUGCACCAUCAAUAUUUGAUAACAACGGCUGAGAUUUAAAAAUAUACAAAAGUUACAUAUAACUAUUCUGGGGUACACAUAGUUGCCUGACACGCCUAUCAUCUAGCACGUCUCCAAACCUCAUAGCACGUCUUCAUCAAUCUGUCCGACAGACCGACACAACCACAAACUGGCGUGUGCAAAUAAGGCAAGCAAAACUCCACACAGAUUAAUCUGCAAGAGCCUAGAAGCCUCUGAAAAAAACUCCACAUGGACUCCGCCAAGCCAACGACAAAUAUAAAGGCACUCGACUGGCCACAUCCAGCACACACAAGGCAGCCCAAGAUUUAGGAUCAAUAUUUUUUGGGAAGUCAAAGUCAGCCGAAUCUCCUAUGAACCAACACGCCACCAGCAAAACUGAAGUCUGCCGAUUAUGUGAUGCAUCCAGUGAUUCAACGACGGACAAACAAUAACGCAAGGCAGCCCAAGAUUUAGGAUCAAUAUUUUUUGGAAAGUCGAAGUCAGCCGAAUCUCCUAUGAACCAACGCGCCACCAGCAAAAUCGAAGUCGGCUGGUUAUGUGAUGCAUCCAGUGACUCAACGAUGGACAAACAAGAAAAUUAGCCAACCUUCAAUGUCAGGUUCAGCUCGAGUGCCGACAAAGUCAGGCCCAACCUUCUGAGUUGUCUCUAACCUGAAUCAUCAAGGUUAGUAAAUACUACUAUUACUAAAUUCACUUAUCAUCAUAAAAUCUUCAUAGGUACUUUAUCAGUUGUUUUCAACUCCUAUUAAACCCCAAAAAUAUGGCAUACAAGAAGCUUAAUGACUUAACGACAAUUGUUGAUGAGCUUAUUAGCCUCAAUAUAAUUUUGAUGGACAAAAAAUGCAUUACAUAUUACAGAUUUCUCUAUUGUUUUGGACAACAAUCCCUAAUUAUAUUUUACUGUUUUGAUAGGGCCCAACCGAGUUCAUGCUACUAUCAACAUUUAAAAAUCCAUGCUACUAUCUCUAGAGGUUAAAUUAUAAUUAUAAUCGUUGGUACGGAUUAAGUACAAUAACAGGUAGAUAAAAUAAACAAUGCUCAGGUAUGUCUAUACUCUAUAGUGUGUGGUUUGAAAUAAGACUCUUAUCUAAUUAAUCUUUCUAACUGUGAAGCAAUUAAUCUCCAAAUUUAUUGUGAUUGGAUUAAUCACCCAAAUGAAGCAUGUGGAAUCAAUAAUAAAAAAAGAACUCUUUAGGGGUGAUAAAAAUAGGAGUUACGUUAUGGACAAAGUUUCCUUAUUUUUUGAAUGAGGAUUUAAUCGGCAGCUAAACUGUCCCUAUUGUAACCUUGAUGGUGCAGAAGUUCAAUCCAGUAAUGUUUACAAGAUAUUUUGUUAUUUACAGGGAAACUAUCUAAGACAUUUACCAUUGAUUACCAAUUCCACAAGAAUUAUAUAGGUCUAGAUAUAACUGAAGCCCAGGAACUUCUUGGCAAGUAUGGAACAGUAUCUUUUAUCAGUUAUUAGUUAUCAACUAAUGAAUAGUAACUCUGUUUGUUAACCAAUAUUACUAUACUUGACUAACUGCAUGUGUGUGUAGAAGAAACUUAACAAAAAUGAUGGAAGAUAGAUACAACUACGAAAGGAACACUAGAAGAAAAAAUGUCUUACAAAAGAAGAACAUUACAAGAAAUUACUAGAAUGAGGCACAAAAAUCAGACAAAUCAGGUACUGUAUAGACUUCUAAGAUAUGAUAUGACCACUUCCGAGGAAAACAAGACUCCAAACCUAGACUGAUAAUGGAGUCAUAUCAGCUAGAACGGACCAUAUUUGAUUUAUUUAUGUCUCUCAACUUCUUCAGAUUGCUAACUUUGAGUUUUGAGGUUGUUUUUCAGGAUUGCGAACUUUGAGCUACCUACAAUAUAUCUAUUACAGGAACAUGGUGGUAUAUGUCAUGUGGUGAUCUCACAAAGCAGGUACAAAGGAAAUUGACAAGAGUUGUGGUAUAUAUACAGAAAUUGUAACACCUCGGUAAGCAUAUAUUCUGCUAAUUUGCAUAUAUUCUGCUAUUUGAACAGUAACUUCCCAAUUAUGUUUACUUUGCAAUGAAAAGAUGCCAAAUUAAUUACCGUACAACUACUAUAAGCUGCACCUGAUUUUACGAGGAGACCGAAAAAAUUAUUAAUAUAUCGGUCUCGAAAUUGCAAAACUCAUUGGGUGGGAAGCACAAAAAUUAUACAAUAAUUAUGUUGAAAGUAAGCCAAACUAUUUAUGUUUACUGAGAUAAUAGUAAGAAUACUUGACAUCGAUCAAUAUAAGGAGGACACUUACCAGAUAACAAAGGUCAAAUGUUAGCACUAUCAAAAACAUAUUACAUUAUAAUUAUUUUAAAUACAUUCAGACAUGUACUUUUGGUGAAUUUUAUAUUCUUGGCAACAACUAUUCUAGCCUAUGGCCUGUUUAGUUCAAGAGACCAUGAUCGUGAGGGAAAACUGCAAUAUUACAGGCAUCGCCUACACCAUAGGCAAAAAAUUCAUUGCAUGUCAAUUAAGAUAUAUGAACCAAAUUCCAGUUAAUACAUUUAAUCCUUAUUGCUUUGUCCUAAAUACACAUAUAGGUAUAUAACUUGCUAAUAUAUGUUAGCACCAAAAAAAGAAUACUAUUAAACCACCUGCAAUGGGGAAACUUACAUGUCAAGAAUAAGCCAAUCCCGAUGAAGUAGAAAUGAUGCAAAGUUGUAGCAAAUUAAUGGGUGAAAGGCGAUGGCACCAGCAAUGAGGAAGCCCAAAACCCGCCUUUGCCUACAGACUCUUUAAAUAAAAAGAGACCAAUCACUAUAUAAAAAAUAUACAUCGGGGUUAUACAUAGUAGAUAGAUAUAAUGGACAUACGCUUUGUUGUAUGAAGCUCCAUAUAAUGGCUACAGAUAUGUUGAAGUGGCAAUAAUCAAAGUUGGGUAGAAUGUAAACUAAAAAAUAAUGUCAAGCCAAAUAUCUCUAUAAUGUAUAUCCUAUUAAUGAUUGUUAGAUGAAGAACAAAAGAAAGUAUGAGGUCAUCUCCCAAAUUAUAAUUUAAUAGAACAAGUAAAUCAACCUUCCCUCUGAAUUUGUUUAACAGAUCAACAACGUAAAUCAACUUACAAAGUACAUAUAUUGUGCCAAGCGAGAGAAGAAUGAAGAGAAUAAUGGGAGAGUAGGGAGAGAUUCAUACCUGUCCUUACUACUCCGCCUCAGACGUGGAAUGCUACGGAGAAGAUGGUCGUUCAACCUAACGACACAGCUCUCUGUCCUAGAGCCACGAACAGGAGAGCAGAACACUCUCGGAGAACCUAGCAGCAAGCAACACCUCUCAUAAUCUCCGGUGGCCUACCCGGCGACCGAUCUGCCUCUACAAAGCAGAAAUAGUGAGAUGCGGCCUUGCUGGUAGGCGACGCAAGAUCUGCGGCUCGAACGCGCAUCUCCGUUUCUGCCAGACUUGAUCUCCAAGAGCAUCUCCUUCGCAGCUUUGGUGAAGUAGGAGCAUGACAUUCGAUUUCGUAGAGCCAGCUUGAGGGACAAUAACGAUAGAGCAGAGAAAGGGGAUCUGCUUAUCUUCUCACAGAAGAUAUAUGGAGACUUCUACAGACGGGAAGAAAGUUGACAAAUGGGCCUAUUGUGACCUCGGAGGCGUGGGUGAAAGCAAAAAGGAAAUAUUCUACAG